rnacentral:rRNA from 1 species
AUUUAACGCUGGCGGCAGGCCUAACACAUGCAAGUCGAACGAGUGGCGGACGGGUGAGUAAUGUAUGGGAAACUGCCCGAUGGAGGGGGAUAACUACUGGAAACGGUAGCUAAUACCGCAUACCAUCGGAUGUGCCCAGAUGGGAUUAGCUAGUAGGUGGGGUAAUGGCUCACCUAGGCGACGAUCCCUAGCUGGUCUGAGAGGGUGACCGGCCACACUGGAACUGAGACACGGCCCAGACUCCUACGGGAGGCAGCAGUGGGGAAUAUUGCGCAAUGGGCGCAAGCCUGAUGGAGCCAUGCCGCGUGUAUGAAGAAGGCCUUCGGAUUGUAAAGUACUUUCAGCGAGGAAGCGUUACUCACAGAGAAAGCACCGGCUAACUCCGUGCCAGCAGCCGCGGUAAUAC